GACGAACGCUGGCGGCGUGCUUAACACAUGCAAGUAGAACGGAAAGGCCCUGCCUUUGUGGGGUGCUCGAGUGGCGAACGGGUGAGUAACACGUGGGUAACCUGCCCUUGACUUUGGGAUAACUUCUGGAAACUGGGGCUAAUACCGCAUAGGAGCUCCUGCUGCAUGGUGGUGGUUGAAAAGUUUCGGUGGUUGGGGAAGGACUCGCGGCUUAUCAGCUUGUUGGUGGGGUAGUGGAUUAGCAAGGCUUUGACGGGUAGCCGGACUGAGAGGGUGACCGGCCACAGUGGGACAGGGAUAGGGGCAGGACGGAUUCGGGAGGAAGGAGUGGAAGUCAGUGCAAGAUAGGCGGAAGCCUGAUGCAGCAAUGCCGGGUGCGGGAUGACUGCCGUCGGGGUGUAAACCGCGUUCGCCUGUGAAGAAGAGUGAGUGACGGUAACGUGUAAGGAAGCAACGGCUAACUACGUG
rnacentral:rRNA from 1 species